UACGAAGGGGGCUAGCGUUGCUCGGAAUCACUGGGCGUAAAGGGCGCGUAGGCGGUCAGCACAAGUCAGUUGUGAAAUCUCCGGGCUUAACUCGGAAAGGUCAACUGAUACUGUGCGACUAGAGUGCAGAAGGGGCAACUGGAAUUCUCGGUGUAGCGGUGAAAUGCGUAGAUAUCGAGAGGAACACCUGCGGCGAAGGCGGGUUGCUGGGCUGACACUGACGCUGAUGCGCGAAAGCCAGGGGAGCGAACGGG
rnacentral:rRNA from 1 species